UACGGGGGGGCAAGCGUUGUUCGGAAUUACUGGGCGUAAAGGGCUCGUAGGCGGCCAACUAAGUCGGACGUGAAAUCCCCAGGCUUAACCUGGGAACUGCAUCCGAUACUGGAUGGCUUGAAUCCGGGAGAGGGAUGCGGAAUUCCAGGUGUAGCGGUGAAAUGCGUAGAUAUCUGGAGGAACACCGGUGGCGAAGGCGGCAUCCUGGACCGGCAUUGACGCUGAGGAGCGAAAGCCAGGGGAGCGAACGGG
rnacentral:rRNA from 1 species